UACGUAGGGUGCAAGCGUUAAUCGGAAUUACUGGGCGUAAAGCGUGCGCAGGCGGUGAUGUAAGACAGUUGUGAAAUCCCCGGGCUCAACCUGGGAACUGCAUCUGAGACUGCAUUGCUGGAGUGCGGCAGAGGGGGAUGGAAUUCCGCGUGUAGCAGUGAAAUGCGUAGAUAUGCGGAGGAACACCGAUGGCGAAGGCAAGCACCUGGGCCUGCACUGACGCUCAGGCACGAAAGCGUGGGGAGCAAACAGG
rnacentral:rRNA from 1 species